GACGAACGCUGGCGGCGUGCCUAAUACAUGCAAGUCGAACGAGUGGCGGACGGGUGAGUAACACGUGGGAACCUACCCAUCAGAGGGGGAUAACACUUGGAAACAGGUGCUAAUACCGCAUACUAUUGGAGCGGCCGAUAUCGGAUUAGCUAGUUGGUGGGGUAAAGGCUCACCUAGGCGACGAUCUCUAGCUGGUCUGAGAGGAUGAUCAGCCACACUGGGACUGAGACACGGCCCAGACUCCUACGGGAGGCAGCAGUGGGGAAUAUUGCACAAUGGGCGCAAGCCUGAUGCAGCCAUGCCGCGUGUAUGAAGAAGGCCUUAGGGUUGUAAAGUACUUUCAGCGGGGAGGCGUUACCCGCAGAAGAAGCACCGGCUAACUCCGUGCCAGCAGCCGCGGUAAUAC
rnacentral:rRNA from 1 species